UGGAAGUUCCCAGGCUAGGGGUUGAAUAGGAUUUGCAGCUGCUGGCCUACGCCACAGCCACAGCAAUGUCAGAUCUGAGCUGUGUCUGUUACCUGCACCACAGCUUGAGGCAAUGCUGGAUCCUUAACCCACUGAGCAGGGCCAGGAUCAAACCCGCAUCCUGAUGGAUACUAGUCUGGUUUGUUACUGCUGAGCCACAAUGGGAACUCCCUGGAUUAGGCUUUGGCUGAAGGAGUGUUGUGACUACUUUGAUCUUCUAUCCAGACCAAUAAAGCUUUCUCCGUAUCAGCAGGAAUGCUGUUUCCCUUUUGUAUGUUUGUGUGUUCACUGAAGUAGUACUUUCCAUGUCCUUUAAGUACUUUUCCUUUGCAUUCAUUCUCAGCUUGGCUGUUUGGCUCAAGGGACCUAGAUUUUGGCCUGUCUAGGCUUUUGACUUGCCUUCCUCAGUAAGCUUAAUUAUUUCUAGCUUCUGAUUUCAAGUUAGAGACGUGGGACUCCUCCUUUCAUUUGAAUACUUAGAGGCCUCCGUAAGGUUAUUAAUUGGCCUUAUUCCAGUAUUGUGUCUCAGGGAAUAAAGAGGCUGGAGGAGAGGGAGAGAGCUGGGGAGCUGCCAGUCGGUGGAGCAGUCAGAACACACACAUUUUCAAAUGAAUUUAUCACAUCUGUAGUUGUAUAAUGAUCAUAACAAUCUGAUUUCACAGGAUUUCCAUCCCAUAGCCCAAGCGCAUCCCUCCAUCUCCCAAACUGUCUCCUCCAGAGACCUUAAGUUUUCCAAUGUCUGUGAGUCAGCAUCUGUUCUGCAAAGAAGUUCAGUCUGUCCUUUUUUCAGAUUCCACAUGUCCAUGAAAGUAUUUGAUGUUGGUGUCUCAUUGUCUGGCUGACUUCACUUAGCAUGAUGAUUUCUAGGUCUAUCCAUGUUGCUAAAAAUGCUGGUAUUUCAUUCUUUUCAAUGGCUGAGUAAUAUUCCAUUGUGUAUAUGUACCACAUCUUCUUGAUCCACUCUGUUGAUGGACAUUUAGAUUGUUUCCAUUGGUAUGACAUUUCUGAACAUGAUCCAUAUCUAUACAUGUAUCAGUAAUUUAUUCCUUUUUAUUGCUGAGUAAAAUUCCACUGUGUGUCGAUGUACCAAAAAUUGUAUUCACCUGUUAGGUGUACAUUUGGAUUAUUACCAUUAUGUAACUAUUAUGAAUAAAGCUGACGCACUUCCAUGUACACAUUUUUGGAUGAACAUCCCUUUAUUUUACAUGAGUAAAUAAAUUAGGUGUGGAAUUGAUGGGUCUUAAUGUGUUUUUUUUCACCCUAGAACAUUUUUAUUGUACUCCCACUUGGGCAGAUAAAAAUGAAUUUGACAUCAGGGCUCAAACAACAGCAGUGUUGGACUUACUUUUCCUGUUUUUACCAACCUCAUGAGAUCUAUAAAUUUAUAGUACUCUUAGGUCCUUGAACAGGUCCUGCAGAGGAAUUGGAAAGAGGGGAAUAGCCAUCCUAGCAGGUCAAGGAUACAAGGACAGGUGUCACCAGAUGAUGUAAAAAAGAGGUGACAGCUCCUGCUAAGCUAGGGCUCAGAAGCUCAGGUUGGGUCAACAUAAAAUUUUUAAGGUGAGAAAUUGAUGAAGACAACUUGCUGGUUAUAGAGUUAGCCCUGAAUAAGGAAAAGUCAGUUUUCCAGACUGGAGCUAAGGACAAGAGUAAUGUUGAGGUGGAAAAGCAGUGCCUCUUGAGGGCAAUAUUUUUCCGGGAAUGUGCUGAGAGUUAGGGGUUCAAAUACUGAAGGAGUGAAGCCCAUCCUUGUUAAAUACUUAUAGAGUGGUGGAAGGCAUCUGCAGAGGACAGCUUGACAGAGACAGAUGGCCGUUUCUCCUUUUUAUCUCUGAAGUGGGACACUUAAGCAGUCUGCUUGGUAACUUUUGCCGCUGGGUUCAAGAUGGUAAGUUCACUCGUCUUAAGUGUUUAUCAUUGACCUCGAUGUCCUGGUAAGUUGUUUUGGUGCCUCACUCAUCCGACCACACGGAGAGAUGUCUCUGUUUCCUCCUAUAAUGUUUGAGGCCCCGGCUGAGUGAUAGCCUGCGGAGGGAUGGGGUGUUCUGUGCUUCCCUCUGCACUGCUCUCGUAGGCACCCAGGCUCCAAACUUUGAUUUAUCAAGGCCCUGCCCUUGUCUUUCUGUUUGCAUCCUUUAGGACAGCCCAUCUCAUUACUUGGCAUCCAUGUUCAGAACCUAGUUUAAUGUAAGGGAAGCUCUUUCCUGAGCGUGGCCUGAGGUCACACAUGGCAGAUCUUCCAAGGGGAGUGUGGAUUAUUCCUGGGUUUGAGAGAUUACAUCGAGGGCACUUUAAGAGGCUUAAUUUUCUCCUUGAAGGGCUCUCCAUUGGGUUCAGCCUCUGUCACUCCUGGGCCCUCCCCACAGGAUGAGAGGAGCUCUCCCUGUGGGUGAGAUGUCAGCCGUGAAGCUUUUGGUCCAGUACACCCGGGGAGAAAGAGCAGCUGUCUUUGUGGGCCAUCUUAGUGUGAUUCGAGGGAAGUUUAUUUUUAUUAUCAGUGUUUUAUUUUUUUAAAGAGGGAGCCUGAGUGGUUUUAGGUCAGCCUUUCCCUUUGGUAGCGGAAGAACUCAGUCUGAGAAGGAUGGGACCAACUGGGUCACUUGGCAAAGCUGGCACCGGAGUCCCUUACUCGUGACCAUUAGUGGCACUUUCUCCUUUUCUCGGGAUGCCUGGGUGGACCCUGACUUUAAAUCAUGACUAUGUUUCUAGGCUCUGGGUGUGUGUCAGAACUGUCAGUGAAGCCCCUUAAACAUGCUGGCUGUACUCCUCCACCCCACCCCUCCCCUGCCCUGGAGUCACUGAUUUGGAAUUUCUGAGAGUAAGACCUGGACAUUGUUUAUUUUUGUUUUUAAUGUUAAUAAAUAUUAACAUUGAAAGUUGUUUGCUCUUCUAACCCUUGAGCAUCCAUCUAGCUGCAUGUCAACUCAUAAGGUGUGGGACUGCUGCUGGACACUUUUUUUUCUUUUUUUUUUAGGCAUAUGGAGGUUCCCAGGCUGGGGGUCUAAUCGGAGCUACAGCUGCUGGCCUACGCCAGUGCCAUGGCAAUGCUGGAUCCAAGCCGAGUCUGCAAGCUACACCACAGCUCCCAGCAUCGCUGGGUACUUAACCCACUGAGCGAGGCCAGGGAUCGAACCCUCAACCUCAUGGUUCCUAGUCGGAUUCAUUUCUGCUGUGCCAAGAAGGGAACUCCUGGACACUGUUUUUUAAAGAUCCAUAGGGAGGCUCCAAGGAGAGGUGGCCCAGGAAGGGUGCUUAGGGGGUAAAAGUAGCCAGGGCACUGGGGACAGUAGCCUAGCAUGGGAGAUGCUUGCUACCCUUGCUCUCUGGACAGACACAGCUAUUUCCCAAUGCUGGGCAGCCAUCUCAGAGGGGCCAGUCCACUCCUCGCCCUCCCAAACUCUUGCUCACUGAGCAAGACCCUUUCAGGUUUCAUUUUGAAUGCAUGCUGGAAGGGCUUGAUUAUUUUCUUUGGGGACAUUUUCCCAGUGUGUUUUGAAUUACUUAGGCGAGAAUGAAAGUUGCGUUAAGUUUGAGAGAGUUGUCUCCUGAGAGCUUUUAUGGCUCCUUUUCAUUAUGGCCUCUUGGUGCCUGUGUGCUGGGGGUGGCUUAAGCUCUCUGAGAAGCUGGCCAUGGGUGCCACUCUGACGGAAGGAAAAAGGGAGUGUGACUGGCUGUGUAGAGUGGGUUUGCAUAGUUGUAUAAGAAUGAAGAAUCACUUGCUGGUUCUUGCUGGUGAGCUUGCACAUAGGUUGGAGCUCUGAUUUUAUGACAGUUGCUACAGGUUCAAGACUGCACAGCAGAGCUGGUUAGGGAUGCUCUGUUUGCCAAGAGCUAGCUCUCUGAUGGACCUGAGAAGUAGUGUCAAUGCAGUAUUAUACCUGAUGAAGAUAUGAAAACACAUCCUGUGGAAUCUGAGAAGCAUCAGAUGGCAAAGCGUCCUUCCCAAAAGGAGCUGGAGAAGGGCACUUUCCUCUUGUACUGGAACCUAAUAGAUUGAAUUUGUUUGGGCUGCCACAUCACUGUACCACCGAGUUGUGGCUUCACCAGCAGAAAUAUAUGUUGUCUCGGUUCUGGAAGCUGGAAGUUCAAGGUCAAGGUGUUGGCAAGAGUUGGUUCCUACUGAGGGAAGAAGCAUCCGUUCCAGGCUUCUCUCCUUGGCUUGUCAUAGGCCAUCUUCUUCGAUGCAGGUUUGUUUCUGUGUCCAAAUGUCCUGUUUUUAUAAGGACACCAGUCACAAUAGAUAAGGUAGGGCCCACCAUUAUGUUUUCAUUUUAACCUGAUCAUCUCUGUAAAGACUCCAGGUUACUUUCUGAGGUACUGGGAAUUUAGGACUCCAACACAUUUGUUGUGAGGGGACACAAUUCAAGGUAUAGCACGGACUGGCAAAAUGACUUGUUUCUCAGAAUAUGCCUGUGACAUGGCAUGCUUGUUAUUGAAGUUACCUCUUUAGGCUAAAGGACCCUCUUCUGUAAUGGUUGUGGAAUUCCGCACCUGCCAGGUUCAUUGACCUAUACCUGGGACUGGACAUUUUACCAAUGUCUUGUUUAAGUUUUUUUGCCGUCAUAACAACCAUGGCAGAUGGUAUUAUUUCCACUUUGAGGUAAUUGAUGUGUACCAAGGUUUACACACUAAAUACUGGCUAAGUUUGAUGCAAACUCAGAUUUUCUCAUCCAUAUCCUACGUUUCUUCCAUAACACUGGUGAUUUUUCAAGUCUUGAUGUGCAUACAAAUCUUCUGGGAGGCUCCUGAAAAAUAAAGAUUUAGGAGACUUUCUAGAAUACUGCUGAGCCAGAAGCUGAGGUAACAACUAUUUUUAUUGUUUCUUCUGAAGAUUUUGAUGCUCUCCAGCAUGUGAGAAUGAAUGCACUCUAUCAUGGAUAUACUAUAUUUAAAGGGGGAAACCCACCAGUACUACCAAGUUCCCAUUUUCUUUUCCAUUGGUGGCUUGCAUGGGAGGCAUCAUGGGAAAGUGGUUGCUGGAAUCAAGGGGUGCUUUGAGCCCGAGGGGGUUGCUUUCUUAGACAGCACCCUUGCUGUUGUACUGAUGGGGAGAGUCUUUGGAUGCCAGGCUGUGCUCACUGUCCUUUAGCUGAUGAUAAAUAAAUCUGGCUUGAAUUUUCCCUGUGUACAGAUGCACCUUGUACCACAGUGGAGAAGAGUGGGAGAUAAGUCGAGAUGGAGUGGGAACAAAUAAAUACUUCAUGCUUUAGCAAAGCAAAAGGAGAAUCGGUGAGAGGACAAGGCAAGAAAAAAAUUGUGAUUAUUAAGGAUUUAUUGUUAUAAAAUGUAUUCACACAAACUAAAAUGUGGUGGUACAUGCUCCACUGCAGAAGAAUCACUUAGAGAAAAUUUUGAGAUGUGGAUUCCUAGAUUCUACCCCUAGAGAUCUUUUAUUCUAAAGUGGGGCUCAAAAACAAAAAAAAACCAAAAAAACGGUGUUCCUGUCAUGGCACAGCAGAAACGGAUCCAACUGGGAACCAUGAGGUUGUGGGUUGAUCCCUGGCCUCACUCAGUGAGUUAAGGAUCCAGCGUUGCCAUGAGCUGUGGUGUAGGUCACAGACAUGGCUCAGAUCCUGUGUUGCCUGUGGCUGUGGUGUAGGCCAGCAGCUGUAGCUCCAAUUAGACCCCAAGCCUGGGAACCUCCAUGUGCCGUGGGUGUGGCCCUAAAAAGAUAAAAAAAAAGCUGAGCUGGAGUUGCUGCUGUGGUGCAAUAUAGGUUGUAGGUCACAGCUGCAGUCAGAUAUGAUCUGUGGCCCGGGCAUUCCAUAUGCCUUGGGG
rnacentral:lncRNA from 1 species